GAGUUGUGUCAGGGCAGAGGCAGGUGGGGGUUAGGGACAGGUUCUUCACCAGAGGGUGGUGGGGCCCUGGAACAGGCUGCCCAGGGCAGUGGGCAUGGCCCCAAGCUACCAGAGUGCAAGGAGCAUUUUGGCCAAUGCUCUCAGACAUAUGGAUUGAAUUUUGGUUGGCCCUGUGUGGAGCUGGACUUAGUAAUCCUUAUGGGCCCCUUCCAGCUCAGGCUAUUUUAUGAUUCUAAUGGAAAAUUUCUCUUUCAGGAAUGUAAUGAUUACAUGUUCUUCCCUAAAGAGCUCAUUAUCUAGGUGCAGAAACAGAAUACAAUAAAUUCAGUCAGUCUUGCACGUCUGCAUCUACGAGGCUAUUUAAACGGAAGUGGCAGCCACACAUUACCCACUGAUCACUUAGUCAGGUGCUCCUCUGAUGAUAAGAAACCCAUGAGAAGAAGAAAAUGCUUGAAAAGAAAUGGGGGCUGGGGCCUUCUUUAAGCAGCAGUCACUGUCCACAACCUGACCAUCUUAUGCAGCAGCACGUCCAUCCUUGCCCUGCCUUUUUCCGCCAAAGGCAGGUGAAAGGCACUGGUGCUUAAGUUAGAGCUUUUUUUGUUUCACUGAUGCUCCUCAAAAGCCUUAAAAUAGUUCUCAAAAAGAUAUGGUGAAGUUUGAGAUGACUCCAAGACCCAAGCACAGAUGUUGCAAGCUGAAGAGGCUUGUGGAUCAUUAUAGUGAUCCCAGUCCCUUUGAAUUAAGACUUGGAAUGGAGUCAAGAUGUUGAUUGAGAAAGAGUAUGCCGUUAUUAAAAGAUGGGCAAAUGAGAAAGAAAAAAGAGAAGGAAAGGAAAGAGAGAAAAAAGGAAAGAAAAGCAAGCCACCACUGUGGAUUCCAUGAUGUCCUGGGGGUCUGUCCUCCGCUUCUGGGGUGGUCGAGGAUGUGGUGGGGCAUGCACCACCAGUAGUGGGGUUAGCAGUGCCUUUUAUGCCAUAUGAUAGUCCCUUCCAAUUGGACUUAUGUGCUGUGCACAUGCUAUACUGGCUGUGCUUCUCCUUUUGCUUGAUGGUUGUGGUUGCGGUUGGACCAGAGACUGCCUUAAGGAAGACAACUAACUCCUGACCUCCCCAUUGUGCUUGGGCACAACAGGUGUUUGUUCUGCAAUUUUCACAGGAGUAUUGCCAAACAGUUUUUGUUCUGUGGCCUUCACAGGAUUGUUACAGUUUUGUUUCUCAAGUCGCCAGUUAGCUGCAAGUUCAUCUCUUAACCAAUCAGAGAGGGAGAAUUCACAAUGUUACAGUUCCAAGUAAUGAUGUCACAGAGUCCAAGCCGGAAAGAAACACACCAUUGCUUCAUUCUCACCACAGGGCAUCAGAAAAGGAGAAGCAGACAGCAGGGUUUGGAAGGAGAAAACCCACCAGCAGAAGGAAGAAAAGUUCUACCUAUGGAAUGGGAGGCGGCAAUAACAGCUGUGCAGGUAACUUAAGAAUGAAGAAGCAUCAGGCUAAAGAGAAGGAAUUAACAAGCCCAGAAAUUAUUGGAUGGCUAGAACACUCACCAGAAAGAUCUGCCACAAAUGGAGUUCUAAGGAACACAGAGCUGCGUGUCACUGUGGAAGACAACAUGAGAGCGAGAUCUGGAUGAGAGGGGCAGGAGGGAGCAGGACCAGAUUAGCAGUCGCUGUUAGAAUCGAAAGUGUGCAAACAGCCCACUGAAGGACACAAUCAUGUGCUCAGCUGUGCCCCAUUCAAACCACAGAAGUCAAAGGCUACUGGCAUCCUCUCACCAGCUGUCCUGAAGCCUGCUCCCUUCACCACAAGUGAGUUCAGUUCUUCGUCAAGAAGUGUCAUUUAAAAUGACAGUGGCUGCUAUGGAGAGAGUGGGGCUUGCAUGUUUUUCUCACAAUAUCUC